CAUUUCUCCCAAACCUAAUCGAUUCUCGGUGUUUGCUCUACCUUUCUCCCCUAAAUCAAUCAUCGCUCAACGAUCUAUGGAUCUGCAGUUCCGAUGAAAUCGUCCUUUUGGCCCUUUAUUCUCAUCGUUCGUAAAGAUUUUUUGAUAUUGUGGUGGAGGAAUUCAACAAAACAAAGAAAGAUUGGGACGAAGCCUAUCUUCAAACCCUAGCCCACAUUAAGUUCAAACUAUACGGAGUGGGAGGGGAUGAGGAGGGGGCAUUAAGCACCAUGUGGCAGCCACGUCGCAUAGCAAGAGGGCGUGGUAAAAAAAAGCACGGAGUGUGAGGGGCGUGAAAGUUGUGUUUUUAAAACAAAAAAAAUCAACCAAUUGAAACAAAUCCAAACAACACCCACCAAUCAUAGGUCAUCAAAAUACGACUCGAUAAAUUAUAAGUUACCAGAACGGACAUUAGGUCUAUAGCAUCGCGACAUUCAGAUUAGCAAGGCACUCCUCAAGGAGAUUUUGGCAGCCAAGAGAAGAAACAAAUCAGUGAAAGGUUUGGGGCUUGAAAACCUGAACAAACACGCUCCUAUUAUCCCUUCUCACCUCACAAGUUCCACUCUUUGGACAGCUUAGUUUCAGGCUGACAUCUUCUGCCUACAGGAGAGAGAUUGGGGAAAGCAUGGAACAUGUAUUUACAAUGACCUGCCAGAUCGCUGAGGAUUUGGGCAGAGCCUUCUCAGUCCGGUUAGUUUUACAAACAUUUCUUGAUGUUGAAGCAACUGUUCCAUAUAUUUGGUCGCUUCUCUUAUGCUGCAAUCCAGGUACGUCUAGCAGCGGAAUUUAAAGUGAUAUCUUUUACACUUGGUGUAUGUUAUUUACUGUAUCUUGCACUUUCCCACUUUGACCUCGCAGAUUGCGUUCACAGUUUCACAUUUCUGGUUUAUUUGGCAUCCAUACUUGCUUAUCUGGGUCAACUUGAUUAAGAUAGAGGGAGUGGAAUCUAAGUUUCAUUUUUAAAUGUUCUUGGUUAGCAUGAUUUGUUAGAAUUAGAAUCUAAAUUUCAUUUGUUUGGUUGAGAAAUAGAACUGAAACGUAUUCGCUUAAUGAUGAGUUUGUUUUGCGAUUUAAUGCUUUGUCCCGCUGGCGCAAUGAGCGGGACAAAGCAUUAAGUGUUUAUGGCUAAAAGUUAAUGAUGUUUAGUCAUAUAUUAGUUUAUUGACCCCGACCUGUUCUAACCCAGCCCUGUUCUGACCUGGACCCGUUUCGUCCCGAACCAAAACAACUUUUUUUAUAUUUGACCCGUUUUGACCAAUGACCCGACCCGACCUGACCCAUUUGCCAGGUCUUAUAAGCACUGAUCCUUAAAUAAAUUGGGCAUUAUGUACCAAGAGUAAAGGUGGGAUUAUUGUGUAUAAGAUUGUAAACAUGGGAUUAUUAUGUACCAAGAAUAAAGGUGGGAUUAUUGUGUACAAUAUUCUGAACGUGGGAUUAUUAAAAUCCAAUUUUUCUUAGUUUUUUUUAUAAAAAUUGUUAGCCUGCUAAUGUAAAACUUUGUUAAUUUUUUUGUAAAAUGAUUUUUUGCACUAUUACUACUAGAGGUAAAUAAAUAUUUGUUGAAAACUAAAAUCUAGAUCGGAGAUGAAGCUUUCCUCAAAAGCAUUCUAAACUCUACCGAGACUGUAGCAAGAGGAAGGUUUUAAAGCUUGGACCCAAAUGAUCUAGUUGGUGGUACAGAGAUUGGACCAGAACGGUGUGAGGUAAACGUUCAAGUACCAAUAAAAAACAUGAAAACUUGGUAAGACCAUGUGGUUUAUUUUCUACAAUUCAAGAUUGUAUUGGUGCAUCCAUCGCAUGCCCCCUAUUCAUUCAUCUAGGUAGUCCAUGAGGAUUGAGGACGCAUGAUGACUCAAGAUUUUAUGCUUCUUAUUUCUUAAAUUGCUUUUAAUUUCUUUGUUAAAUGUUAAGACUUUAUGUUAGAUAAUGUUAUAACUUAUUUAUGGCUAGUGUUUUUGUUAUGAACAUGCUUAUUUGAAUUAUAAUGAAGUUUUAUUUCUUUUAUUAGUUGAUGUUAUACAAUAA